GAAUCGAAACGCUGCUGGGUUUGGGUGAUAUUAAAGGGUUUCUGUUUGGUUUUCAGGUGUGAUGAUGUUGUGGCAGUUAAGUUUCAAAAGCGUUCUUCCUUUAGACUUUGCGCUCAAAGGUCUGUGGAUAAAAUGAUAUAAUGUCUGAGAUCGGCUUCCAAAUAACCAGGGCAGGCAGGCGGGUCACCGGUGGCACAGGAGUGGUCACAGCUCCGUUACUGCUCAAGCGUGAAGGACGCAGGGACGUCACUGUCCUGUUCUGUCUAUGUUGGGGAAUACUUGAGAUAUUCCAGAAUCAUGUUUUUAAAAUUAAUAGGAAUUAAGCUAUGCAGGAGCUCUAAGGAAAGUUCUUGGGGGUCAAUUUUCUCAUCCCCUCCUGGCAGGCAGAAGCGGGGUGGGGGGGCGGGGGGAGGGAAUCUCUCCCCUGGGGUCCCAAACCGGUCCUUCUGGUGCCAGAAUUACAGGGACACGGGAGGGAGUGGCUCGUCACAGCGCUGAGGCCGCUGUUGCUGGGACAACUCUGUUACCUUUCCUGAGGCCCCUGUUGCUGGGACAACUCUGUUGCCUUCCCGGCUGAGCAAGGCCUUAGCCCGAGGCUGGCCUUUUGGGCAGGCCAUCUCAAGGUGGCCCCACAGUAAAAUAGAGUUGGUGUCGAGACGCUUCGCCAAGCGCCCAGGAAGCUCUCCCGGUCCCCUGCCACGGUGAGCAUCUCACAGACCGGGGACCCAGGCCUGGCCGAAGAAGAAUAACCAAGCCUAGAAGCCAGACUCUUGAUUGAUUGAUAUUCUGGCAAUGCGAGGGCGUCAGGACGCUAGGUGCAAGUUCACGUCCUACCUGCGCCGCCUCUGAAUCAUCUCAAGGAAACGGCACUUCAUGUAGGCGGCCCCUGGGACAGAGAAGGUUCGAGAUAACCAAGGCUGCAUCUCCCAGUGAUCCAAAAAAACUUCUUCUGAUGGCAACCUUUGUAAACACGCUUAGUUCCCUUCUGAUGUUUCCGAUAUAAAGUGGCCAUGACUCUGGUGCAACAGCUCAGGGCUGUGCUGAGAGAAGAUCUUUCUACGCAUGGGACCUUGGAAGACAAGUUGGAGGAGUUCUGACUUGCCACCUCCCAUGAGCCUGUGUGACAGUGUGCUGUCCUUGCACGGAGGUGAGCUACUCCAACAAUGGCAGAUGAAGGGGGAGAGAGAAGCAGGCAGCAGGACCAGCCUGCACGUUGCUGGAGCAGGAGCAGAGCCAUCAGAGGCUGAGCUGGCGGAGGGAUCGCGUCGCGCGGAGCCCACGCCCUUUUUGCUUGACUUCAAGAUCCUUUUGUGCGGAGCACUCCAGACAGCCACUGACAAUCGAGCCACAGGGGACCACGUGAUAAAGUCUACACAAGAUCUCCCAUCUGUGGGAGGAGGAGGAGGAGGAGAGAGGAUGAGGAAGGCUUGGGUGUCAAAAGCCAGGCUGCAAAAACCUCUGGCCGUUUGGUGAUAUUCAGAACCCCUCAUUCAUUGGUUUACAUGCGGCCACGCUUUCUAAAGAGUCCUUAUCUUUUAAAGAAACAUACUAAAAUAUCUGUGGAUGGAUGGGUGCAAUGUCUGAAAUUUAUUUCUUUUUAUUUUGGAGAGAGAGAGAGAGCAUGAGCUGGGGAGAGGGGCAAAGGGAAAGAGAAGGAGAGAGAAUCAGCACG